rnacentral:rRNA from 1 species
GACGAACGCUGGCGGCGCGCCUAACACAUGCAAGUCGAACGGAGUCAAGAGGAGCUUGCUUUUCUUGACUUAGUGGCGAACGGGUGAGUAACGCGUGAGUAACCUGCCCUGGAGUGGGGGACAACAGUUGGAAACGACUGCUAAUACCGCAUAAGCCCACGGAUCCGCAUGGAUCUGCGGGAAAAGGAUUUAUUCGCUUCAGGAUGGACUCGCGUCCAAUUAGCUAGUUGGUGAGGUAACGGCCCACCAAGGCGACGAUUGGUAGCCGGACUGAGAGGUUGAACGGCCACAUUGGGACUGAGACACGGCCCAGACUCCUACGGGAGGCAGCAGUUGGGGAUAUUGCACAAUGGGGGAAACCCUGAUGCAGCGACGCCGCGUGGAGGAAGAAGGUUUUCGGAUUGUAAACUCCUGUCGUUAGGGGCGAUAAUGACGGUACCUAACAAGAAAGCACCGGCUAACUACGUG